CCCACGUCCUGGGAGGGUCCCCACCAUGGCCUGGAUGGUGUUUCUGCUCAGGCUCCUCACUUACGGCUCAGGGAUAGAUGCUCAGACUGUGGUCCAGGAGCCAGCACUGUCAGUGUCUCCAGGAGGGACAGUCACCCUGACCUGUGGCCUCAGCUCUGGGUCAGUCACUAGCAGUAACUACCCUGGCUGGUUCCAGCAGACCCCAGGCCAGGCUCCCAGAACUCUUAUCUACUAUACAAACAGCCGCCUCUCUGGGAUCCCUGAUCGCUUCUCUGGCUCCAUCUCUGGGAACAAAGCCGCCCUCACCAUCACGGGGGCCCAGCCUGAGGACGAGGCUGUCUAUUACUGUGCUCUAUACACCGGUAGUUGCAAUAAUACCACAUUGUACCUCCACGGGGCUAGAGGGGCCGGGGAGCGCAGCCCGCCCCCACCCACACCGCCCCCUCCUCCGCCGCCGCUGCCGCUGCCCACACACUCAGAAUCCCUGGCCUCGCUCCCGGAGGCAGGGACCGUGCAGGUACGCGGGCGCCGGCCUCCGGCGCGUUCCAACCCGCGGGCCUGCCCGCCCGGGCAUCGCCGACGCGCGCCAAUUUCCGCAUCCGGCUCCUGGCGCUUCCGGUCUUAG